UACGAAGGGGGCUAGCGUUGUUCGGAAUUACUGGGCGUAAAGCGCGCGUAGGCGGACGUUUAAGUCAGGGGUGAAAUGCCGGGGCUCAACCUCGGAACUGCCUUUGAUACUGGAUGUCUGGAGUUCGGGAGAGGUGAGUGGAAUUCCGAGUGUAGAGGUGAAAUUCGUAGAUAUUCGGAAGAACACCAGUGGCGAAGGCGACUUACUGGACACAUAUUGACGCUGAGGUGCGAAAGCGUGGGGAGCAAACAGG
rnacentral:rRNA from 1 species